ensembl:lncRNA
GCGGCCGCCAAAGUUGCGGCGGGGCCGUGGUCUGCCGCGGCUGCCAGCCAUCAAGUGGCUCGUUAAGGAAAUGCAGGUGAGCGGGCGGAGCGGCAGGGGGCUGCACAAGGCGCGGCGCGGAGCGCGCCUCCCGGUCCGAUCCUCGCCGUCCCCCCGGGCCGCUGCAGCCGGCGGCGCCGGGCGCGGAUCUGGGGCCGCUGCCGCGCCCCCGGAGGUGGCCGCUCCGCCGCCCCCCGCCCCGCCCGCAGCCCCCUCCUCCCUCUUCCCCACCCCUCCUCGCUCCCUCUCUCCUCCCUCUUUCCUCUUUCUCUCUCUCUCUCUCUCUCUCUCGCUCGGUCUCUCUUUGCCGGCCUCAUCGGAGAGAGUUGCAGUUCCUUCUGGGCCUGUGUGGACUAGGGGCACAAUCCGUCGCCUGACUGGCAGGAGGGGAAAGUGGAGACUCCUUCAGGUUUCCAAAGAGGUACGAGCAGACAGCAUUAUAUAUGUUUUAAGAAUCUGGGUUACCCUGUAUUAACUCAGUGGAAGGAGAAGACUAGGAAUAAAAUGUUUCUCAG